CUGAUAAUCACAGAAAAUCAAAAUUAGUAAGAUAAUUGAUAUACUUGUGUCAAUGAAACAAGAACGAGUGGAAGCUGUAAGAAAUGCAAUUCUUGAGAAUGAAAAACAUUCAACAGGCUUAUAAGUAGGAAAAUAGAAAAUAUAUGAAAAGUACAACUAGGAUAUAAAUCAUUCUAACAAGUACAAACACCAUGAACAAUUUAAUAAACUUGCCCAGAGAC
rnacentral:lncRNA from 1 species